CGUAGGGGCAAGCGUUGUCCGGAAUUAUUGGGCGUAAAGCGCGUGUAGGCGGUCCGGUAAGUCGGCUGUGAAAGUCCAGGGCUCAACCCUGGGAUGCCGGUCGAUACUGCCGGACUAGAGUUCGGAAGAGGCGAGUGGAAUUCCCGGUGUAGCGGUGAAAUGCGCAGAUAUCGGGAGGAACACCAAUGGCGAAGGCAGCUCGCUGGGACGUUACUGACGCUGAGACGCGAAAGCGUGGGGAGCAAACAGGGUUAGAUACCCUGGUAGUCCACGCCGUAAACGAUGGGCACUAGGUGUGGGAGGUGUCGACUCCUCCCGUGCCGGAGCUAACGCAUUAAGUGCCCCGCCUGGGGAGUACGGCCGCAAGGCUA
rnacentral:rRNA from 1 species